ensembl:rRNA 5S_rRNA 5S ribosomal RNA
GUCUAUGGCCAUGCUACCCUGAACAAGCCCAAUCCCGUCUGAUCUUGGAAGCUGAGCAGGGUUAGGCCUGGUAGUCAUUGGAUGAAAGACCACCUAGGAAGACCAGGUGCUGCAGGCA